rnacentral:lncRNA from 1 species
GUCUGGGAUCUCUCCAGAACCUAGUCUAUCACACUUUCCCCAAAUGCUGGGUCAGCUGCCUCAAGUUUAAGAAGGACUGAGGGCAACAUUUUAGCCCAAAGAUGCUCAUCCUAGUGACCAGAGCAGGCAGGAGGCUCAGGCCAGGUGGGGCAUAGUCUGCCCCAGCAGAGCCAGAAGGCAGUGUGUGAAGCCUGCAGGGAGAGCAGUUUGGGAGACACUUCUCAUGGCAUGGAGCCCAGGAGGCAAAGGCUGAGCCAGGAGCUUCCAAGGGAGUCUGGCUAUGGGAUUUACGAGUCUCUUGUUCCCAUUAAAAAAAAAAGGCUCUAAGGCCUCAAGUGCUCUGGAGAGGCUCGCUCUGUGGAGCCAAGACACCAGGCGGGAGGGAAGCUGGCUCCCCUGAGAGGCACUGUCCUUUCUCCUCUGUGGCAAGAGUCAGAGCUCCCCCGACACCUUGUGGCAAUCCAGGGCUUAGAACAUCUCUUAAUUUAGGACAAAGGGCAAGCAGAAGAGAGAAAGAGAAUCAUGUUUUCUUGGCCCUGAGCCCUGGAUGGAGCCUCAAGUCAUAGAAAAGUGGCAGUGAAGGUCACAAGUGCCAUGGUUCUCGUGCUACGAACUGGGGGCUGGAAAACUAACUGGUCACUAGAUGGCGUCUUAAUUUCUUCCCAGGAUCCCUUCUCACCAUUAUUCUAGAAGUUUCUCCAAGUUUGCUAGCAAUUUCUCUUCUUCUGCUAGUUCUCUUAUUCUGCUAGGUUUGGGGCAAUAUGUAAACCUUUGGGUUAGAUCCCACAUAAAUCCAGAUUUUAGAUGUCAGACAGAGGGGUCACUGAACUCUGUGGCAUCCAGCCAUGUGCAGAUAGACACUGUUUGCUGCUGUUGCUGAUGUAUUUAUCUGGCAUUUGUUGGAGAAGUCUUUGGCUAUGGAUUCUACUUAGGGACAGUCCCAGGAUGACUGGAACCAUAAGAGGAGAGAUGAAAGAAACUCUAAUGAUCUAUUCCAUUUGGAACAAGCUACGUUAGUGGAGAAUAAAGUGAUGCUUUGAGGCUCUAGACUAAAAGUGAGACAAAGAUACCGGAAUCCACUACUGGGAGCAGGAAGAGAAGCAAGAAAGAGAGAAAUAGUGACAUUGAGGGUGGGGGCUUAAUAAUUUCCCAGCCAUGGUCUUACUGGAUAAGAUACAAAUCUACCAAAAGGAGCUAUUGCUGGAGAUUGUUUUCAGUGGAAUACAAAUGCCCUGGACAGGUUUGAUAUCCAUCUUCUCAUCAAUAGG